CUCCUACGGGAGGCAGCAGUGGGGAAUAUUGGACAAUGGGGGAAACCCUGAUCCAGCGACGCCGCGUGUGUGAAGAAGGCCUGCGGGUUGUAAAGCACGUUUUAGUGGGGAUGAAAAGUUCAGGGCUAAUACCUCUGGAUCUUGACCUAACCCACNGUAAAAAGCACCGGCUAAACUCUGUGCCAGCAGCCGCGGUAAUAC
rnacentral:rRNA from 1 species